UCCCGUUUAGCUCAGUUGGUAGAGCGCGUCACUAGUAUGUCGCUCCGCAGCGCCAUGCGAUAUGACGAGGUCAGUCGUUCGAGUCGGCUAAUGGGAA